rnacentral:rRNA from 1 species
CAGUUCGGAUUGAAGGCUGAAAUUCGCCUUCAUGAAGCCGGAAUUGCUAGUAAUGGCAGGUCAGCAUACUGCCGUGAAUACGUUCCCGGGCCUUGUACACACCGCCCGUCACACCAUGAGAGUUGGGGAUACCCGAAGCCUGUGAGCCAACAGUAAUGAGGCAGCAGUCGAAGGUAGAAUCAAUGAUUGGGGUGAAGUCGUAACAAGGUACC